ACAUAGUUCAGCUGGUAGAGCUGCCUGCUUUGCACGCAGAAGGUCAGCGGUUCAAUCCCGCUUGU
rfam:Onchocerca volvulus assembly O_volvulus_Cameroon_v3 genomic scaffold, OVOC_OM2